GAGUUUCGAUCCUGCGUACAGACGACGCUGGCGGCGUGCCUAACACAUGCAAGUCGAACGAAAGCUUGAAUUCUAGAUUUCUUCCGGAAAUGAAGAAUGAUAUGACUGAGUGGCGGACGGGUGAGUAACGCUGGGCAACCUGCCCUUCGAGGGGGAUAGUGUCUGGAAACGGACAGUAAUACCGCAUAACGAUUUUUUACCGCAUGAUAGAAAUACCAAAACUGAGGUGCCGAAGGAUGGGCUCGCGUUGGAUUAGAUAGUUGGUGGGGUAACGGCCUACCAAGUCAACGAUCCAUAGCCGGACUGGGAGGUUGAACGGCCACAUUGGGACUGAGACACGGCCCAGACUCCUACGGGAGGCAGCAGUGGGGAAUAUUGCACAAUGGGGGAAACCCUGAUGCAGCAACGCCGCGUGAAGGAAGACGGUUUUCGGAUUGUAAACCUCUGUUCUUAGUGAAGAAAAAUGACGGUAGCUAAGGAGCAAGCCACGGCUAACUACGUG
rnacentral:rRNA from 1 species